GACGAACGCUGGCGGCGUGCUUAACACAUGCAAGUCGAACGGAAAGGCCCUGCUUUUGUGGGGUGCUCGAGCGGCGAACGGGUGAGUAACACGUGAGUAACCUGCCCACAACUUUGGGUUAACGCUAGGAAACUGGUGCUAAUACUGGAUAUGUGCUCCUGCUGCAUGGUGGGGGUUGGAAAGCUCCGGCGGUUGUGGAUGGACUCGCGGCCUAUCAGCUUGUUGGUGGGGUAGUGGCCUACCAAGGCGGCGACGGGUAGCCGGCCUGAGAGGGUGACCGGCCACAUUGGGACUGAGAUACGGCCCAGACUCCUACGGGAGGCAGCAGUGGGGAAGAUUGCACAAUGGGCGCAAGCCUGAUGCAGCAACGCCGCGUGCGAGAUGACGGCCUUCGGGUUGUAAACCGCUUUCAGCAGGGACGAAGCUUUUUGUGACGGUACCUGCAGAAGAAGCACCGGCUAACUACGUG
rnacentral:rRNA from 1 species